rnacentral:piRNA from 1 species
UGUGGAAAAGCCUUCUAUUAGUGUUCAACC